rnacentral:lncRNA from 1 species
AUGAAGUCACCUCUGUUGGUCUGCUUGGUGUCACAGGAGAGGGCAAACAGUGCUUGGGGACUACCACCAGAAGUCUGUAAUCCAGAAGAAGCCUCCUGGCAAGCUAGAACCAGCUCAGGGAGGGGGCAGGCUUCUCCUUUUGUUUCUAGUCCCCCAGGAGUGGCAUGCCCUAGGCUCCAGACAUUGAACUUCUAUAAAACAAUCAGCACAAUGAGGAGGAAUGAUGAACAGGAUGAUUUCAGAAAGAACAGGAAGGACCUACAUGAACUGAUGCAGAGUGAAAUAUGCAGAACCAGAAGAACAUUAUACACAGCAACAGCAAUAUAGUGGAAUGAUCAACUGUGAUUGACUUAACUACUCUCAGCAAUACAGUGAUCCAGGACAAUUCUGAAAGACUUAUAUGGCAAAGAAUGUUAUCCACGUCCAGAGAAAGAACUGUUGGAGUCAGAAUGCAGAUCAAAGCAUACUAUCUUUUACAAUGGUUUAUUUAGGGUUUUAAUUUGGGGUUUUGGUUUUAUAUGAGUAUUCUCUUACAAUGAUCAAUAUGGAAGUAUGUCUUACAUGAUAAUACAUGUAUAAUUGCUCACCUUUCCUGAGAGAGGGGAGAGGAGGGAGGGAGGGAAGGAAACAAUUUGGAUCUUGUCAGUUCAGAAAAUGUAUGUUGAAAUGUUUUAUUACAUGUACUUGGGAAAAUAAAAUAUAUUUGAAUAAAGGGAAAAAAAGAGAG